GCCCGGUUAGCUCAAUCGGUAGAGGUUAGUAACCAAUUAAUCCCUAUGAUUUCUUCAUCACAAAUACUAACAUGCGAUCUAAUAGCGUGAGACUCUUAAUCUCAAGGUUGCGGGUUCGACCCCCGCAUCGGGCU